rnacentral:lncRNA from 1 species
GAGGAGUGGGGCCCUAUGAAUCUGAAGUUAAGGAUUCCAAAGAAUAUGAUCAGAGUAGGCGNCUGUGGGCACAGCAAACAAACAAAACAAACAAACAAAAACUAAAGAAAAAAAACCCCUUAUUUAUUAAUGCUUGUUUAUUUAUUUAACAAAUACCUAAGGAAUGCUGACAUUGUGCCAGGUACCAUGAGGAUGCUGGGCUUUACGACUAAAUAAGAAAUAGACUUGCCAUCACUGGUAUAGAUCGGAAAAUUAUGAUCUGGUGAAUUAAGUGCUACAGAACAAAUGGUCCAGAGAAACUAUUACAGCCAAGCAAAAAGGAAGUCCAGCUUGAGGAGUGGGGCCCUAUGAAUCUGAAGUUAAGGAUUCCAAAGAAUAUGAUCAGAGUAGGCGGAGGGAAUCAAGAAAAUGAUUUAAAGAAAGAGUGUUUUGAGAAUAUCCAGCAUUUAGUAUGGCAAUACCAUAAAGAUAAUGGGGGAGUUCCUGGUGUGGCUCAGCGGUAAUGAACCAGACUAGGAUCCAUGAGAGAAAAGAAUGGAUCUGUUUAUAUGUAUGAGUGAUUCACUUUGCUGUGCACCAGAAACUAAUACAACACUGUAAAUCAACUAUACUCCAGUAAGAUUUUUAAAAAUUUUUAAAAAUGGUUUAGGAGUUCCCGUUGUGGCACAGUGGAAACGAAUCCAACUAGGAACCAUGAGCUUGCCGGUUUGAUCCCUGGCCUCACUCAGUGGGUUAAGGAUCCAGCUUUGCUGUGAGCUGUGGUGUAGGUCGCAGAUGCUGCUUGGAUCUGGCGUUGCUGUGGCUCUGGCGUAGGCCGGUGGCUACAGCUUCGAUUUGACCCCUAGCCUGGGAACCUCCAUAUCCCGUGGGUUGUGGCCCUAAAACGACAAAACAAACAGACAAACAAAAAAGAUAAUGGAGAGACAGGUGGGGCAAGGAAGGCCCAGCCAAGCGAUAACACAAAAAUUCACCACUAAAAAAAUAAAAUAGCACUGAUAUGCUGAUAAUAUGUGUCU